rnacentral:rRNA from 1 species
ACUCCUACGGGAGGCAGCAGUGGGGAAUAUUGCACAAUGGGCGCAAGCCUGAUGCAGCCAUGCCGCGUGUGUGAAGAAGGCCUUCGGGUUGUAAAGCACUUUCAGUCGUGAGGAGUAGUGUAGUUAACUAGCUGCAUUUAUUUGACGUUAGCGACAGAAGGAAGCACCCGGGCUAACUCCGUGCCAGCAGCCGCGGUAAUACGGAGGGUGCGAGCGUUAAUCGGAAUUACUGGGCGUAAAGCGCAUGCAGGUGGUUUGUUAAGUCAGAUGUGAAAGCCCGGGGCUCAACCUCGGAAUUGCAUUUUGAAACUGGCAGGCUAGAGUACUGUAGAGGGGGGUAGAAUUUCAGGUGUAGCGGUGAAAUGCGUAGAGAUCUGAAGGAAUACCGGUGGCGAAGGCGGCCCCCGCUGGACAGAUACUGACACUCAGAUGCGAAAGCGUGGGGAGCAAACAGGAUUAGAUACCCUGGUAGGAUAGCGU